rnacentral:rRNA from 1 species
UACGUAGGUGGCAAGCGUUGUCCGGAAUUACUGGGUGUAAAGGGAGCGCAGGCGGGAAGCCAAGUCAGCUGUGAAGACUACGGGCUUAACUUGUAGACUGUAGUUGAAACUGGUUUUCUUGAGUGAAGUAGAGGUUGGCGGAAUUCCGAGUGUAGCGGUGAAAUGCGUAGAUAUUCGGAGGAACACCGGUGGCGAAGGCGGCCAACUGGGCUUUAACUGACGCUGAGGCUCGAAAGUGUGGGGAGCAAACAGG